GCCCGUGUGGCUCAGUGGAUAGAGAUUCAGCCUGUGGACUGAAGGGUCGCGGGUUCGAUUCCAGUCAAGGGCA
rnacentral:tRNA from 1 species